GGAUUAGAUACCCUGGUAGUCCACGCUGUAAACGAUGAUCACUAGGUGUUCGGUCUUCGGACUGAGUGCCCAAGCGAAAGCGAUAAGUGAUCCACCUGGGGAGUACGUUCGCAAGAAUGAAACUCAAAGGAAUUGACGGGGGCCCGCACAAGCGGUGGAGCAUGUGGUUUAAUUCGAUGAUACGCGAGGAACCUUACCUGGGCUACAAUGCCUCUGCUACCUGGUGAAAGCUGGGGUUCCUUCGGGACAGAGUGCAAGGUGCUGCAUGGUUGUCGUCAGCUCGUGCCG
rnacentral:rRNA from 1 species